rnacentral:rRNA from 1 species
GACGAACGCUGGCGGCGUGCUUAACACAUGCAAGUCGAACGGUGAAGGGACCGGUUUUUGCUGGUUCUGGAUGAGUGGCGAACGGGUGAGUAACACGUGAGUAACCUGCCCCCUUCUUCUGGAUAACCGCAUGAAAGUGUGGCUAAUACGGGAUAUUCUGCGCCUGCUGCAUGGUGGGUGUGGGAAAGAUAUUGUUUCGGUGGGGGAUGGGCUCGCGGCCUAUCAGCUUGUUGGUGGGGUGAUGGCCUACCAAGGCGGUGACGGGUAGCCGGCCUGAGAGGGUGGACGGUCACACUGGGACUGAGACACGGCCUAGACUCCUACGGGAGGCAGCAGUGGGGAAUAUUGCACAAUGGGCGCAAGCCUGAUGCAGCGACGCCGCGUGAGGGAUGGAGGCCUUCGGGUUGUAAACCUCUUUCGCCAGUGAAGCAGGCCUGUCCCUUUUGUGGGUGGGUUGACGGUAGCUGGAUAAGAAGCGCCGGCUAACUACGUG